rnacentral:lncRNA from 1 species
UGGCACACCUUUGUGUUUGAUUUUAAUCAGGAACUUGUGUAUGGUUUAAUCCGGAACCUACUUAAACAGUAAGUCUCUCCUCCAAUCUGUAACUGUCAAAGAGGGCCCAGGUUUCCCGUAGCCAUGGGUGGAUUAAGAAAAAAACUAACAUCUCUAAAAUGCUUUUUUGUAUCCUCCUUUUAGAUGUCAUAGUGUUGUAUGAAAGUGUAUUGGUUAUAAUGGCAUUAUGAUUCCCUCUAGAGAUGUGAAGCACAAUGUCACAGGGGUGGAGUUUUAAAGGAAGAUUUCUCUAAAUUGUUCAUUCUUUAUGUACAAAUAUUUCAGGUGUGGUAGUGUAUUACACAAAUGCUACGGUGUAUGUUUUAUGCUUUCCAUUCGAGAUAGGGAGCAAAAUGUCAGACUAUGGGCUUUAGACUGGGUUGGAGUUUUAAUGAACCGAUCCCAUCAGAUGGACACCGAUCCCAUGAGCCUUUGUGAUAUUUUAGUUCAUGUAGAAGAUUCUGGUCAUGAAAUGCUGUACACUUUAGUGAUGGAAAGUAUUGUUUGAUGCACAAGUCACCUUCAUUGAAUAUUUUUGUCAGCAGACUGUUAUUUGUGAAUGAAUCAUAUUCAUGCCACAAAUAGGCUAGUGGGCACAGGAGUGUGCCUUGGUUGCUCAGAACUCUCUUACCGAAUCUAAUGCUACGGUUCUUGACAGGUUCGUGUCAAAAACCCACUCACAACAUGAACCCUGAAAAUGGCUUGUAAACCGUUGUUUAAACAGCUGAACUUUGUAAUUAUUGGAUGCGAUCGUGCCGGGAAAAGUGAAGUAUGUAAUGCCAUACUUGGGAAAAAGACAUUUAGUUUUUGGUCUUUACUGAAAAAAAGACAUGAGACGGCUACAAAGGAGGCACGUGGGAGGACAAUAACAGUUACCCGUGGAGCGGGCUGGAAUGAGGGCAACCUUGGCAAAAAGGAUGUAGAAAGAGAGAUGUUGUACUGUGUAAAUAGGUCACACAAAGCUGGACUUCAUGCUGUUGUCUUUGUUGUGGAUGCUAAUAGACCAUACUCAGAUGCAACCACCAUAGCCUUAGAAGAGCUUCUCCCAGAGAAGGUGUGGGAUCAUACCAUCGUGGUUCUUCGUAAUGCAGAAGCUCAUGGUGAGAAGCUUGGCGAUUCUCUCCAGAGCCUUGUUCAGAAAUGUGGAAACCGAUGUUGUGUACUCAACAGGGAAUCCAUAUGUGGCAUCACUGAGUGGCUUGAGGCAAUGAUAGCGGAGAAAAAACAGAUUUACUUUGGAGGAAAUGUUGAUGCGGAAGACGAUAAAAAAAUAAGUCUGAUUGCAAAUCUCAGACACAACAUUAAAUGUCUUCAACAGCAAAAAAAUAAAGAAGAAGAAAAGCAACUUGAGGAAAUGACAUGGCAAGCCAAAAUGGAACUUCAGAAGAGUACAGCACUGAAAGAUGUUGAAAUACAAAACCUUCAAGAGAUCUGCCGAAAACAGGAGGACGAACUGAAAUCAUUGCAGCAAGAAAUAUGCUCAGAUGCUCCGUCAAAAGGAGCGGCGGUAAAAAGUGAGAAAUGUCUGAAACUAUUUACACUGUAAACAUCUACACUGCAGACUAUUUAGAAUUUCAGAUUUAGCUGAGUGCCUUUAGGUAUAAUUGGUACUUGGGUGAGUGCAUUUAAAGUGUGUAUAAAACACACAACCAGAAAGAGGUCAAUAAGGUGAUGUUGGGAGGGACAAUAACACUUUCAGUUUAUUGGGUUGUGGUAAAUAUUUUACUCAAUCACAUUACAAUAUGUAAGGAAGGGCUGCUUAGCUUUGUGUGAAGUGCUAUAUUUCUGUGUAUGCAAAAUGUAUUUGCCUCUGAUAUGUGCUUUAAUAUUUUAGCGUCCGGUCUGGAAAUCACAUGGCCCAGCAAAUUAAUGGAGAUUUUGGAUAACCUAGAUGAAAAAGAAUUCAAGAGACUGAAGUUUUUUCUACACCAAAAAAAAAGAAUACCCAAAUCACUUGACAGAGAUGAUCUUGCUGAUAAAAUGAUACAGGUAUGGGGUACAUCCCAGUGUAUCAUCGAAACAGAGGUACUGCUGAAAGAUUUGCAGCGCCUUGAUUUGGUGCAAAACCUUACGGAAUUUAGGAAAGGUGAGUCAUUUGAUGUACGUACUUAAAUUUACUUAAACCCCCCUGACCUCACAGUGUGCCUUCAUUUACAUAGUAGGCUACUUUCAUUUAGCUGACUUAAAAUGGUGUAUCAGUGUAGAUGUGAAAAUAACUGGUCUUCUGUUCUGUUUUCUCCUUGCUUUUCUUCCACCUCUCAUGCCGAACCUUCCUUUCAUACUGUUUGGGAUUCUGAUCUUUGUGAAGACUUGAGUGGCACUACCAUUCAACUAGUGGACACCCCCUCAACCGUACCAAGCACAAAAUGAUCCCAUCAUGUUGACAGUGUCAUGAUGCCCUUAACCUAUCCAAGGAAACAGGAAAUUGUCCAAGCAACAACAACACAAAUCUGUAUUUGAGGUCUUUUGUUCUUUGCUUGGAUAUCUGAAAAUGCCCAAAUCUGACUUUGUGAGGACACAUAAAGCUGCAUGAGUGUCAGAUCUUAGGUUCAGUUCUUAGGCUAUACCUGCUCGGACUCCAACCAAAAAGACUUGACUUACUUUAGACUUUAACAUUCAAGGAUACAAUUUUUAGUCAACAGUGUACAGGAACAGAGUGACUUUUGAUAUUUGUAUGUCAUUGUACUGAAACCCAUAUGCUCGGAGGGAGAGCCCUAUAGCUCACAACCCACUGCAAACAAAGUACUGUCUUGAAACCUCUCAGACUUCUAGAAGUAUUCUCCUAAUGCCUCUCUGAAAUGAGUGGGGGAACCCACAGAGAAGUCAGAAGACGUCGAAAAAGUGGGUAACGGAACAGGGGACAUCGAAAAAAGACCAGACUCCUCCGACAAUGAGGAAAAAUGAUGCCUUACUAACUGGCAAAGAAGUCACCGGACCAAGAGAUGAACCGCUCUGUGGAAUUAUUUCUAUCUCUAAAGAUCUCCACAACUAAAAAAAAAGGACAUACACACGGCUACUUUGGAGUUAAAGGGACUAUUGACACAGAAGCCAGACCCUGACUCUACACCCAGAUCCAUUUGGGCGGAGCACAGGGUGAUUUACCUCCACACUCCAGCAGGGACUUUAGAGGGACAGGGAUCCUUUUACUGUAAGAAACUUUCUCUGUAGUUGGUCUGAUGUUCUUAUGUAGGUUUAUGUGUUUGUCAGUUUUUAUAUCUUUCAGUGUAAAAUAUCGAUGGAUUGUAUUACUUUACAUAAUAUAAUUUCUCUUAAUGUUAAUGGGCUUCUCUUAUGUAGAUUUAUGUGUUUGUUUUCAGUUGAUAAGGGAAAUCAGUUUUUAUAUCUUUCAGUGUGAGAAAUCGAUGGAUUGUAUUGUUUUACAUAAUAUAAUUUCUCUUAAUGUUAAUGGGCUUCUCUUAUGUAGGUUUAUUUGUUUGUUUUCAGUUGAGAAGGGAAAUCAGUUUUUGUAUCUUUCAGUGUGAGAAAUCUGUAUCAAUGGAGGGUAUUAUGUGACAUAAUAUAGUAAUUAAACUUAAGAUGUUGAUGUCAGUGCUGGAUGAAUGUGGAUCAUGCUCAGGCUAAAAAGUAAAUGAGCAACAAACUCAGGUCCUCAAUGUCCACUAAAACCCCCUUCAGUAUCUUCCCUCUGAGUAUAAAAUGGGCUCUUAGCUGUAUUUUAUGUAUAGACUCCAUCAACAUUAAUAUAUUACCAAGACGUUUGUGUUUAUUCCAAUCAUUGACCAUUGAAAAAUCUAAACCGUAUUUUAUGGGGUUACCAUGACACCAAAAUGGUUAGCCCUUCUUUGUCUGAGAUUAUUAUGGGGUUGCUCAUAGUAAGACACUGGUGGGAUGGUGCAAACCAUCAAAGCUAGUUAUAGUUUUGUUGCAAGUACUGGCAUUUCAUUCAGGAAAAGAUUAUUUAGUUGGUGGCUGACAUUUUUUGAGAAGCCGAUGCCCAUUAAAAGGAUCAAAAUCAGUCUGUAAAAUCAAAUCCAUCAGUGUUUAUUUUGUACAUAUGGACAUGAAAUAAAAGUAUACAAUUUGUAUCUUUGUAUGCGUGU